rnacentral:rRNA from 1 species
ACGAACGCUGGCGGCAGGCCUAACACAUGCAAGUCGGACGAUGGCUUCGGCCAUAGUGGCGCACGGGUGAGUAACGCGUGGGAACCAACCCUGGAGUGGGGGAUAACCUCGGGAAACUGAGGCUAAUACCGCAUACGCCCUGAGGGGGAAAGAUUUAUCGCUCCAGGACGGGCCCGCGCCCGAUUAGCUAGUUGGUGGGGUAAUGGCUCACCAAGGCUUCGAUCGGUAGCUGGUCUGAGAGGAUGACCAGCCACACUGGGACUGAGACACGGCCCAGACUCCUACGGGAGGCAGCAGUGGGGAAUAUUGGACAAUGGGCGCAAGCCUGAUCCAGCCAUGCCGCGUGGGUGAAGAAGGCCUUCGGGUUGUAAAGCCCUUUCAGCGGGGACGAUGAUGACGGUACCCGCAGAAGAAGCCCCGGCUAACUUCGU